UACGUAGGGUGCAAGCGUUAAUCGGAAUUACUGGGCGUAAAGCGUGCGCAGGCGGUUUUGUAAGUCAGAUGUGAAAUCCCCGGGCUUAACCUGGGAACUGCGUUGAACUACAAGGCUAGAGUGUGACAGAGGGGGGGUGGAAUCCGCGUGUAGCAGUGGAAAUGCGUAGAUAUGCGGAGGAACACCGAUGGCGAAGGCAAUCCCCUGGGCCUGCACUGACGCUCAU
rnacentral:rRNA from 1 species